rnacentral:rRNA from 1 species
AGCGAACGCUGGCGGCAGGCUUAACACAUGCAAGUCGAACGGGCGUAGCAAUACGUCAGUGGCAGACGGGUGAGUAACGCGUGGGAACGUACCUUUUGGUUCGGAACAACCCAGGGAAACUUGGGCGUAAUAACCGGAUAAGCCCUUACCGGGGAAAGGAUUUAUCGCCGAAAGAUCGGCCCGCGUCUGAUUAGCUAGUUGGUGAGGUAACGGCUCACCAAGGCGACGAUCAGUAGCUGGUC